rnacentral:rRNA from 1 species
AGCUCCAAUAGCGUAUAUUAAAGUUGUUGCGGUUAAAAAGCUCGUAGUUUGAGGUCUGUUCCGGACUGGCUGGGGAGGUCACCGCCCGGUGCUUUCCCGUCAGGUUCCGAACAGCUUCUGCCGCGAGUGGAAGCCCAGCCGGUUUUGCCGGGGUGCUCUUGACCGAGUGUCCCGCGCAGCCGGCCAGUUCACCUUGAACAAAUGAGAGUGCUCAAAGCAGGCUACUCUUAAAACUAAAGCCCGAAUGUUACCUGCAUGGAAUGAUGAAAGAUGAAUUCGGUUCCAUUUUGCUGGCUCUGGGAACCUGAAUUAAUGAUAAACAGGGACUGUCGGGGGCAUCCGUACUACGACGCGAGAGGUGAAAUUCAAUGACCGUCGUAGGACGAACAACAGCGAAAGCAUUUGCCAAGAAUGUCUUCG